rnacentral:other from 1 species
AUAUCCCUGCGGUGCGCGUUGGAAAUUUGAUAAUUGUUGAACCAACACUAUUUUCACGGGAGCCCCAUUAUUCUUUAAGCACGCGUGCCUAAAGAUAGGGCACCCACCUGAAGCCAAAUCGGUUCAGACUAUCAGUCCAACGGCACUUUUGCGGGGAUUUU